CAAUUAUUUUUUCCAUGUUGAGCACAAUUUAAUGGUUUUGGUGACCUAAAUCAUGACUCUGAAAGGGUCUGCUCCUUCAGGGCAAGCCAGAGGAGAAAGAAAUACCACAGCCACCAGGAGCUUUCAAAAUGUGCUCCGUGUUUGACAAGUGUUUGCAAUAGCAGGAAGAAGAAUUUUCAGCUGCUUCUUGCAAGUGUCCAAAGGCUCAUUUCUGUACACUUGAACCAGGGUUUUCUCAUUCCAUGGGUCCAGCAGCAACAGCAUUUUGAAACUGGGCAAAACUUCAGCCACAUCUUGACCAACUGGAAAGGAAGGACGUACACCAGCUCUGCUGGGAUUCUCCCUUCGGUUCAUGCAGGGACAGUUCAAGGGACACUACUGCAGUGACAAGGCUGGGGACUGGGAGGAUAGCACAGAAAAACCUUUUCCUUCUGGCAUCACAAAGCAUUUUCCAUCUGCAGCUCUCGAAGAGCCUCAGCAAGACAACUAGCAUGCUUUUGCCUUCGUGCAGAAUGCAAAGCUGAUGCUGUGGCCAGGAAGCACUUUGGGAAUAGAUCUAGUCUCCUGGGCCCCAGGCUGGCCCCAGUCUCCAUCUACCUGGUCUGGUGUUCAAGUCAGCCUGGCUCAGGGGAACUGCAAAGGUUUCUAGGGAGAAGUCCUCCUUAGCCAUCACACUUAGAAGGUGGUGUGCCUAGGAGAAGGGAGCUUAGAGGCCUUCAAAAGCUCCAGUUCAUCCUCAGCCUGUGCUACCAUGAUUCCAUUAUCCCAUAUUAUAAUAGUAGAGGGUAUUUCCUCUGAAUGGUCUUGACUUACUGUGGCAGUAACUUGCACAGGCUCACACUGUUACCAAACUCUUUUGAGAGUCCAGAAAGUGAGUGCAGGUGCAGAGCAGUUGUUGCCAGCACACUCUGACGGGGCACCAAAAGGGACAGAAGUGCUGAGGGGUGGGUACCUGUGGAUGACCCACCUCUUGAGAAUCACAGGAAAGUGUGUGUGUGUUUGAGGGGGGAAGAGAGGAUGCUGUGCCAUCGAAGGACCAGCAGGAUGAGCUUGGAGAAGCAGAACAGUCAGGGUGGGAGGGGAAUUAUGUGCAGCACUCCAGGAAGGUGUAACAAGGAAGAGCAGGACUGAGCAAGUCAAAGCACAUUCCUCACCGGCUGGCAGGAGACAAGAUCACCCUGUACGUGAGAGGGACCAUGCCAGCUCCCAGCUCGAGCACCGUGCCCUGUCUGCAUGCCAGCCGCACCUCGCUCCUGUCCCCAUGCACCUCGAAGGAAAUUUGGGCUCCCAUGCUUUCCCCUGGGGACCAGGAGCCCAGACCAUGUGCUGCUGCUUGGCCUGGACACAGCCACUGUCCUUCAGAGAAGCUUGUGUGGGCCACCACAGACUGAGUCACAGGGAGUCAAAGAUACCCUGCUGUAGUGGCCUUAGGGCUAGUAGCUGGAGGGGAAAGGUCUUUGGAUUCGAGAGGUCCGGAGCUCAGUGGACAAGAGGAUGAGGCAGGAAAAACAGGAAGGCGGCCCCAGCAGAGCAGUGUAAAUGAUGGCUCAUGGGUGUCUUUGGCAGGCCUGAGGAACCCGAGAAAACCUACAUGGGAGCUGCUGAAAUAGGUUCCUGUUGCACCACAGGCAUGCAUUUUGUUUCCCUCUUCAGGCUCCCUGUGCUCCCCUCAAUAUUAUUACUAUCAGGAAUAUUUGGAAACAAAACCCCAUUUCAAACUGAGCAAAAUCAAGCCCUUUCAUUAAGAAAUCUGCCCGGUGGCAUGCUUUGAUCUUUUUUAGCUGAACCCAUCAGCAAGCUCGGCAGGAGCUGCAAAUAGCCCCGGCUGGUUUACAGCUGGCCAGCCUGCGCUGAAGCAAUUUUGCUUGUCUCUGGUGCCGAGACUGAUUGGCUUGGAGUCCCUUUUGUAACCACGGGCAGGAGGAGCUUUAUCUGCGGGUUUUACAUGAUCCUGUGAUCUUUUCCUUCACUAAUUUGCCAUACGGCCUAAUGAGCGUGCAGAGGCAUGCGUCGCCCCGGAUGGCUGCAGGCCUCCGCUCGGCAGCCGGCAGAUGGUGCUCCCACCUCACCGCAGCGUGCCGUGUCCAGGCUUUGCAGGGGAUCCUGGCAUAAAAAACCUCCCCUCUCCUCCAGGCCAAAGCACCCGGAGUCCCCAGCACGGGUAAAAGCCAUGAAAAGCUGGAGAGACGUCACAGCAGAGGAGCAGAGACACGUGUGGAGGGCUGGCAGCGGCCUGACACGUGCUCUCUGCGGCCACCACACGUGUCUCGUGGCACACAUCCCUGGCAGCGCGGUGGCUGCUGCUGAGUCCUCUACUGACACUUUGGGAAAGGCCAGGUGCUCACUGACCCUCGAGAGGGAGAUGGAUGCUCUGCAAAGGAGAUCUUGAACCACAUGUCACACUUGUGCCUCCUGAUAGAUCCUAGGAUGACCCCCUAGGUCAGGGGCCUGCAGUCCUGGCUCAGCUGUUUGCCCUAAAACAGUAGUAAAUACUGUGCUGGCACAAGCCCAGCGAGGUCCUUUUCUCUUUGCCUACGGAUGACUAACAUGACUACCCCUCGGCAUUUACCCGCGAUGAGUCAGGCCUGCAAAAUCAUGAGACUGGCUUGAGAAUAAUACACAGUGAGAGCUAUUUGUGUCCAAGCCUUUAAGGUACUCUUGGGGCUUGUUUCCUCUGGAAUCGGCAGGGCUGGGAACAUGCUGUUCUUGCACAAUGGAAGGCAAGCUGAGAGUCCUGAGCUGCAGGCGAUGAGCUUUCUGAUGAGCAUCAAAUGUCAAAAAGCUCGCGAUAGAUUAUAGGAGGCGGGAAGGCUGAGAAGGCAUACAGACCUCUCUGAGUUGCCCCAAACUUGCUGAGUGGGGGUCCUGGCUGUUUGCAUGAGAGAUCUCAUGCAUUCAGUGUUCAUGCAUUAAAAUAAUGGAUCUUUCUUGCUCUGUCCUUGGCCAAAAUCUUCCCUUGGCUUUCAUUGUGUUGCUCAUUUCCACCUUGGGAGUGGCUGCACUGCAGCAAUGAGCAUCAGACCAGCCUAUGGGGUGCUGUGGCUCUCAGUGAGCUGUAAGGAAAGCUGAAUCCUUUCCUCAUAAAACCCGGGGCUCAGGUUCUGGCUCUAGCGUCAGUGUCCAUUUGUACUGACCAGGAUCAUCUCUUCUGCCAAAAUAGUCAGUCAGCCCCAAUAAAAGGUGAUGAUCAGGAGUUUGGAGGCUGAAUCAGACAGCUGGGAUGAAGAAACAGCUUCAAGACAUUCAGGGUAACUGGCACCAUGUAUUACAAAUCCUUUGCAAAUACCAUUGCUGACGAAGACAGAAUCCAGAUCCUGUCAAAAUCUUAAGUAUGAGGCACUUUUUUUUGAUGGCUGUUAGAAAAAUGUUGUGGGACACUGUUGUUGGACAACCUUGACCUCUGUUCUAAAUGUCCCAAGAAAAGGCUGCUACAUAAAUAGCAAAGUAGCACUUUUGUUCGCCUGUUGGGAAUAAGGACCCUUGGCUUUCAUACUGUCAACCUGUUUUCCCCACUGAUGAGAGCUGCCAGAAAGAGGAGUGUUGUUGAAGUAUAAUGCUUUCUGAAGGAGGUGUUGCUUUUCCUGUCUAAAGGGAUGAGGCUAAGAGCAUGGGCUAAGGCCUGAUGAAGCUGAACAGAUUUUCCUUAAAGCCCUAAAAAGUAGACAGCCAGAGACUGAAGGAAAGAGAAAUGUGCAAGAACAGUAACCCUUUGCUGAGUGUGAAUGUUGAAGCCCACUAGGAAAGAGGGAUUCAUUCUGGUCAGGUGCUGCUGAGGGGUGUCAGUACAUGACAGCAAACUGUUCUGGCCAUGCUACAAUUCAUUGUCAACAACUGAUAGUACUCAAGCUUGCUUGUACCACUGUUUUACAAAGUCAUUCAUGUCUGACUUCCAUCAUGGCAGCAUCCGAAGACAUGGUCCACUGCAGCCUCCCAGUACACUUAUGAAACAUCAGCUGUUGAGUGGAGGCUGGCAAGUGCACCAUGGCACAGGUAACGACUUGCCCAGAGUCAGGCAGUGAGGUGAUGUAUCGUAUGAUACAUCUGAGCUGAAAACAGAGCAGAGCGGAGCCUGCUACCUGGGAGAAGAAGGGGAGGGAGGUUGCUCCCUACAGCAUUGUCAAUGCUGAGACAGGGGGUACCCUACUGAGGUGGGGUGCAAGGUCAUCCUGUGAAACGAGAGGCUUCUGGCCAGGGGCUGCUUGGGACUGGGAGCUCAGUGAACUGAGGAUGGCACCCUACCAGGUGCAAAAGAGGAUCCUGUAUGAAGUGAGCUCUUCCCAAGCACCAGAGUUUAUUUGGUGACCUGCAUCUGGUCUCAGAGUGCAAAUCAACAGUGAUGUUGCACCGGUUUUACAGUAAUACAUGCAAAGUAGGAAUGAGCCCUGUGUUUAGAGGACACAGGAGCAUUCAUUACACCAUCCAUGUCACACCAAUAGAGAGCAGGCCAAAAAAAAAAAAAGCAACUGCUACCACAUAAGAAGACUAGUGUUGAUAUUAAUCCAUCACAAGGUGAAAUUUUCUGGAAUUAGGUACUUCAGGUAACUUUGUUGUUACCUGUUACCACCACAAAAGUCAUGCUAACUCCCAGAGUUUCUGCUGCCAGCCUUCAUAGCAGUACACGUUCGGAAGAAGAAUCCCACCACUUCCUCUGCUCAGCUUUCAGAAAUAUGGCAAAAUGAUUCAGACCUCACGUCACCAGGGUGAGUGAAGAGUAAUAAAUACAUAAACCCUUGGAUGGCAAGAUGAAGGCCACGAACUGGGGCGUGCGGUCCCUGCAGUUCCUCCUCUCCUACACGGGGAUGGCGAUGCUGUCUCAGCUCUUCUUUCAGCGACAAUGCACACUGUGCGCUCUGUGAAGGGCUCUUUUUUUAGCACCACAGGGCGUGCUGACUAGAUGAUGCCACAUGACAGAGUCAUUCUUCCAGCCGGAGUCUGUUCUGCUCUUGCUACGGUCCGAAGCCUUGCAUGCAGCUGCUGGAACAGCCCUACACGCCUGGGUUCUGUAAGCAGAGAAAGAACAAAAUGUCUUCAGGAAUUAAGUGUGGUGGUUUUGGGAGGCUUUUUUUUUAUGCUAUUUACAGGACUGUAUCCAGUGAUUGUUAGUGGUGAUGCUCACGGAGAAGAGAGACACAUCCCUGCUCAGGAAACAGGGUCUUCUAAUUCCAGCUUACAGACUUUGAGCAUGGAUAUAAAUUAUUCCCCUUUUACCUGCCCCGGUCUUCCUCCACAGCUAAGUGUCUACUUAAACUGUAAGCUUUUGGAGACAGUGAGUAUCUUCCAGUGUGGGUUUGUAGAGCACCUGGCAAAAUAGGGACCCUUGAUCUUGAUUGCAGCUUUCACUCAUUAUUUUAAUAAUAGCAUCAAAGUCAUCAUAUAAAUUAAUUUACCCUGAACACUCCCUUGGCAUUAUUGCACUCUAGAUCAUGUGUGAUAAGAAAUGAUGGAUGGAAAACUGUGUGUGUGUGCACGUGGCAAUGUCUGUGUAGUGUAAAACCCCUUUCUGAGUUUGGUGUGACUGGAGGUGUGACACCUGGGCUGCUAGGCUGAGGUGACUGCCCUCCAAGUGGCAGCACCGCACUCAGAUGUUAUGUGUGUGCCAUCUCUGCUGCCUGCCACAAGGUUUCUUCCGUGUGGGAAGGAGUCAACUCGCCGACUUGGAACCAAAGGAUGAUUUUGUAGGCAGUUGUGGUGGUUCUCUGCAGAGGCACCUCCUUAGAGAGGGGGACACACGGCCUGGAGGGUGACCAGUAUCUCCAUUACAUGUGGCUACAAGGGAUACUGGUUGAUCCAUCUUGAUCAAAAACAAAACCCAAAACAAACAAACAAACAAACAGAAAAGGUUUGUGCAGAUAGGGAACAUCCAGUCCCUUCCGUGUUUUUCAUUGUUCAUUAGAAACAUCACUGGAAGUAGAGGUGUCAGUUCAUAAGGAGAAACUCCCUUUUGACUAAAAGAAUCCUGGCAAAGGACUUUUUAAACAGGGACGUUUGU